AUUUAAAUAGCUUAAUAAAAAGUUUAAUAAUGAAAAUAUUAAGAUGAUUUUUAAUCUUUAAAUA
rnacentral:tRNA from 1 species